rnacentral:lncRNA from 1 species
AGCUAUAUAAUCUUAAUCGUUGUGUAGCUCAGAGAUAGUAUGAACUUUCAAGAGAAUGUUGAGAUGAAUAUCGGAGUUCCAAUCUCAGAAAACACAGGUUUUGCUCUGGAACUAACGCUGAUAGGCAAGCCCGGACGCAGACGCAUAAACUCCAAGUGGAGUAUGAAUUGUAGUGGACUAUGAUUCGUAUUGGAGAUGGACGCAUUAGCAGAGAUCAAGGUUUAAUUAGUAUUUUUUGAGGGGACAUGAGGGGUCAAGAUUUAUUAUAUUACCAGACAGAUGAUAAGAGUCCUUGAGAUUUUUAGGAACAGAGAAGAAAAGAGAAGAGAUUAAAUCUAACCCGCCCCCAAAACUUGCACCCCGGUCUGACAAUUGGACCCGCCCGGCGGAAACGCGACCCUUUACAAACGUAAUCUCUGCCUCCGUUGGCCAGACUAGCUAGCGUUGUUUUUUUCUCACCUUUAGCUGCAAUCACGCAAAUUAAGGUCUCUCGCUCUCCCUCACGCACCGACUAGCCUCCGGGUAUAUCGGCGACGCGGCCGUACGUGGUAUUUCUCUCCUGAUGACUAGCCUCCGGGUAGACUUGUUCAUCUCUCUCUCUCUCUCUCUUUUUUUCUCUCAAUUGUCCUUGCCUCCUUGGGGUUUACAACGUUGUGAAGCAAAAACAUGGGGUUUCCAUGGAUGCUGCAGAUCGAUGUCCAUUCAGUGGUAGGAAAUCUCCUCGUAAGCACAAAUUAAAAGACGACGACCGCAGUGGCACAGUGUUGUGGCAACAGAAACUGCCGGACCAUUUCAGUAAGGUAAUUAGUUUUAACUAUGUCAUCUCAGUAAGGUAAGUAGUGACUGCU